UCUUCACGCUUCUGAUCGUCGUUGCCCUCUCAGCCCCGAUUUGCAGUCUUUGGUAACCGAUUCGGUACUAGUCUCUCUCUCUCAACUGUGUGUUUAUUGCUUUGAUCUGGUUGGAUGUAGAAGUAGGGGAGAUGAUUUGACAGUGCUAGAUGGAUAUUAUAUGUGAAUACUCUGGGCUUCUAAAUCUGAUGGUACUUUGAGAUGGUGAUUUGAGGAUAUAUAUAUGGGUGCUUUGGCUCCAAUUAUAGAGGAUUUGAUAAUUUCUUUGUUGAUUCGGUCACCUCUCUCACUUGAAUCAUGAAAUUUCUCUAUGGUAUGGGUUGUUGUGCUUCAAUUCGCCAGUUUUCCAGUUUUUCUUUUCAUAUCAAGGUUUGUUUGCCGUCAACCAAAAGAAAAAGGUGACGAUGCAGUUUAUAUUUUCUUUUUGUUUGUGGACUGGUGAGUGUGGCUUGAUAAUUUGGAUUAUGGAUUGGUUCUCUAGCUCUAGUGUGAAGUACAUGUCUGAAUUUGGUGAAGUAGUUUCUGAUUACUCUGAUAUUUGGAAGUUGCUGCAUUCAAUUGAAAUUUGCCUCAGACAUUCUGCAGUAUUCUAUUCUAGUUAUAUGUGCUUCAUCUGUUAAUGGUUGCUUUAGCAUCACUCACUGAUAUCUAGAUUGAGCAUCAAUAGCUUCCGACUUGUGCUUUGGCUUAUCAAUUUCUCAUGCACCCACCUCAGUGAGCAUUAUAUUCUUCAGCAGAAUUGGUAAUAUCCUCCCAAUUUUCCCACCCUAUCAUUGGAUUUGUGGAAUUGAUUUCUGGUUUAAUUUGCUCUGUCAGUAUCAUCAGUUUGUCAUUUUCCUUUUAUAUCAAAGUUUGUGUCUGCCAUCAACCAAAGAAAAGGUGAUGAAGCAGUUUUAUAUUUUCUUUUUGGUCUGGUGAAUUGGCUUGGCAAGUUGGACUAUAAAUUGGUUGUAUGGCUCUAUGUGCUGGAUGUGUUGAGUUUGGAGGAGGUUUCCAUAUUUGAUGAGGAAUUUGAAAUUUGCUAUGGAAUUUGCUGUGCCUACUGUUUCUGGUGUGGUUACAUUGCUGCUGAUAUGGUGUUUGGAUGAAUCCCCUAGUAGAGAUGAGGUUAUGCAAAAUAGAGAUGAGGUAGAGAUGAGUUGCUGGUUAUAUAUGAGUGCAUAUGGAGUUGAUAAUUAAGGCAGAAUUCUUCUAAUGUUUGUGCAAGAAGCUUUAUAUGGUUACUGGUAGGGUGCAAGUGUUUCGGAUAUGACAAGAUUCAAGUUCUUAUGGCAACAUAUGCAGCUUUUCAGUUUUUCAGAUUACAAUUGAAGAAAAAUAAUAAAAUAUAUGCAGUUUUCAGAUUUGGAAUUUUUUUUUUCAGUUUUACAUAGUUUGCUGCUAUGCUACUGGGUUUAUUCUUUAUCAUGUUGCACUACUACCAGUGAGAUUCUUCCAGCAAGCUCUUUGUCCUGUUUUAUAUACCUGCUGCAAAUCAAGAUGGAAGCUAGUCUUAUCAUAUCAUGUAGGGUUUUUGAAUUGGAUGUUAUCUUGUAAUUGGCUAUAGCUGUGUAUUUUUCCAACCAGUAUGCUUGUUACCAAGCAUGUGUAGCACUUAUAUUAGUCUUUUGGCUUGUAAUACCUAUUGCCUAGCUGAGUUGUACUGUUCUCCUUAUCUAAGAAUUCACAAUGUAGUCCUUUACAGAUUCAACGUUUUCCUUGACUGCUUCCUUUUAUUUUCUGCAUCUGGCUUCAAUAAUCCAUGAUUUCUAGAAUCCUAUCAAGGUUUAAUUGUUGUUUUGGAUCCUGCUAAUGAUAAUUAUAGUAGGAUUUAUGUAGUCAUCCGUAAGAAGUCUAUUAAUUUUUUGUCUCAACUUCAAGCCUCAAACUCGAUCAAUGUACUUUGCAUAUUAGAGUGAAAAUUGCAAACUGAAUUAAUUGUGAAUCAAAUGUAUUCGGUACAAUUGUGGUAGGCGCCUAGGCGGGUAGAUACUGUAGUAUGAAUUAAACAGGUAGCUCAUUCAUGAUCUGGUUCUUGUUUUGUGAUUCAUGCUCAG
rnacentral:lncRNA from 1 species